rnacentral:rRNA from 1 species
GUCUACGGCCACGCUACCCGUCUGAUCUUGGAAACUAAGCAGGGUCGGGCCUGGUUAGUACUUGGAUGGGAGACCACCUAGGAAGAGCAGGUGCUGUAGGCA